rnacentral:rRNA from 1 species
UACGAAGGGGGCUAGCGUUGCUCGGAAUCACUGGGCGUAAAGCGCACGUAGGCGGAUUGUUAAGUCAGGGGUGAAAUCCUGGAGCUCAACUCCAGAACUGCCUUCGGUACUGAGAGUCUCGAGUCCGGGAGAGGUGAGUGGAACUGCGAGUGUAGAGGUGAAAUUCGUAGAUAUUCGCAAGAACACCAGUGGCGAAGGCGGCUCACUGGCCCGGUACUGACGCUGAGGUGCGAAAGCGUGGGGAGCAAACAGG